GCCUAACACAUGCAAGUCGAACGGUAACAUUUCUAGCUUGCUAGAAGAUGACGAGUGGCGGACGGGUGAGUAAUGCUUGGGAACUUGCCUUUGCGAGGGGGAUAACAGUUGGAAACGACUGCUAAUACCGCAUAAUGUCUUCGGACCAAACGGGGCUUCGGCUCCGGCGCAAAGAGAGGCCCAAGUGAGAUUAGCUAGUUGGUAAGGUAACGGCUUACCAAGGCGACGAUCUCUAGCUGUUCUGAGAGGAAGAUCAGCCACACUGGGACUGAGACACGGCCCAGACUCCUACGGGAGGCAGCAGUGGGGAAUAUUGCACAAUGGGGGAAACCCUGAUGCAGCCAUGCCGCGUGUGUGAAGAAGGCCUUCGGGUUGUAAGGCACUUUCAGUUGUGAGGAAAAGUUAGUAGUUAAUACCUGCUAGCCGUGACGUUAACAACAGAAGGAGCACCGGCUAACUCCGUGCCAGCAGCCGCGGUAAUACGGAGGGUGCGAGCGUUAAUCGGAAUUACUGGGCGUAAAGCGCACGCAGGCGGU
rnacentral:rRNA from 1 species